rnacentral:lncRNA from 1 species
GGCCGUCCCAGGAGCUCUGGGGCCCUCGCCAGCGUCCAGGAAGCGCCUUUGAGCGUCUAAGUUGUCACAGCCCUCAGCGGCCUACAGAGAGACGGCUCCUCAGGGAAACUCCUCGGUGGACCAGCCCUUCCGCACAGCCUGCACUUCCCGAGGCGCGCUCUCACUGCGUCUAUUCGCUUACGGUUAAGGCGCUGCGCUGGGAGGCGGUGACACCUAGACCGAGCUGGGAAGACUAGAAGGAAUUGGCCUGGGAGGACAGGGAAGGUCAGUGGGAGGAAAGUGUUCCAGGUAGAGGAAACAGCUUGUGUCAAGGCCCUGAGAUUCGAGGGAGCAUAACAACGGCAGGCGCGGAGACUGAGGCGCACAGAGGUUAAGGGGCUUCCCCGAGGUCACACAACAGUGGAGCUGGGCUGGGGCAGGUGGCCACGUGCAGGUCAAUUUCCACAGUGCUUGGAAUUGGAAAUUAACCUGGCUAAGCAUGCUGCAGCUUAGCCAUUGAAUGUGCCCAGGGCGAGACCAGAGCCUGGAU